rnacentral:rRNA from 1 species
UACCUACUCUUGACAUCCACGGAAUUUAGCAGAGAUGCUUUAGUGCCUUCGGGAACCGUGAGACAGGUGCUGCAUGGCUGUCGUCAGCUCGUGUUGUGAAAUGUUGGGUUAAGUCCCGCAACGAGCGCAACCCUUAUCCUUUGUUGCCAGCACGUAAUGGUGGGAACUCAAGAGAGACUGCCGGUGACAAACCGGAGGAAGGUGGGGAUGANGUCAAGUCAUCAUGGCCCUUACGAGUAGGGCUACACACGUGCUACAAUGGCAGAUACAAAGUGAAUGCGAACUCGCGAGAGCAAGCGGACCACAUAAAGUCU